rnacentral:tRNA from 1 species
UUCCUAGUGGUUAUGGGGCUAAGACUCUGCGUUCCUAAUGCAGGGGGCCCAGGUUCAAUCCCUGGUCAGGGAA